rnacentral:rRNA from 1 species
GUAGGGAAUCUUCCACAAUGGGCGCAAGCCUGAUGGAGCAACGCCGCGUGUGUGAUGAAGGCUUUCGGGUCGUAAAGCACUGUUGUAUGGGAAGAAAUGCUAAAAUAGGGAAUGAUUUUAGUUUGACGGUACCAUACCAGAAAGGGACGGCUAAAUACGUGCCAGCAGCCGCGGUAAUACGUAUGUCCCGAGCGUUAUCCGGAUUUAUUGGGCGUAAAGCGAGCGCAGACGGUUGAUUAAGUCUGAUGUGAAAGCCCGGAGCUCAACUCCGGAAUGGCAUUGGAAACUGGUUAACUUGAGUGUUGUAGAGGUAAGUGGAACUCCAUGUGUAGCGGUGGAAUGCGUAGAUAUAUGGAAGAACACCAGUGGCGAAGGCGGCUUACUGGACAACAACUGACGUUGAGGCUCGAAAGUGUGGGUAGCAAACAGG